rnacentral:rRNA from 1 species
AGAUUGAACGCUGGCGGCAUGCCUUACACAUGCAAGUCGAACGGCAGCACGGGAGCAAUCCUGGUGGCGAGUGGCGAACGGGUGAGUAAUACAUCGGAACGUGCCCAAUCGUGGGGGAUAACGCAGCGAAAGCUGUGCUAAUACCGCAUAAGAUCUACGGAUGAAAGCAGGGGAUCGCAAGACCUUGCGCGAAUGGAGCGGCCGAUGGCAGAUUAGGUAGUUGGUGGGUAAAGGCUCACCAAGCCUUCGAUCUGUAGCUGGUCUGAGAGGACGACCAGCCACACUGGGACUGAGACGACCGGCCCAGACUCCGUACGGGAGGCGAGCGAGGUAGGGGUAA